UACGUAGGGUCCGAGCGUUGUCCGGAGUUACUGGGCGUAAAGCGCGCGUAGGCGGACCUGCAAGUCGGGGGUGAAAGCCCGAGGCUCAACCUCGGAACUGCCUUCGAUACUGCGGGUCUCGAGUCCGGGAGAGGUGAGUGGAAUUCCUAGUGUAGAGGUGAAAUUCGUAGAUAUUAGGAAGAACAACCAGUGGCGAAGGCGGCUCACUGGCCCGGUACUGACGCUGAGGCGCGAAAGCGUGGGGAGCAAACAGG
rnacentral:rRNA from 1 species